UCAGGGGAGAUGUCAGAGAUGAGCGCAUCUCUCCAAUUACCUUGAAUGUUUUGUCAACAUUAGCAGAAAAUAUGAGAUCUGCCACUCCGUGGAUUUGAACAUGUAUCCACAUACUGUUUUCGUCCCAUCAUAUAGAUGUAAGCGGCGGGUCGAGGAUCUCGCUGCUUAUCUAGGGGAGGUCCUUAGGACUCUACGAGGAUAAAGCUAUGUAUACUAGUGGCAGCCUGCCCCUAUCACCCCCCUUCUGAGGAUGGGUAAAUGAAUCUCUAAAUCCCAGGGAUGAAGGCAUCUUUAAUUCCUUCAAAGAGUUGGAAAGUUCAUGCACAACACUCUUUAGCUGGAGCUUCAUGGAACAUACAGCUGGGAUAGAAUGGAGCAAUAAGCUCAGAAAAGCUAUGCUCUUAGAUAUUAUAUAUAUCAUCAAGGAAUAUAAUUGCUAGAUAUAUUAUCACUAGAUGUCAUCAAUAUAUAUCAUCAUCGAUAGGUAGGUAGGGAGGUAGAUAGGUAGCUAGUUAUAUCAGCAAUCAAUCGGAUAUCAAGCAGGUUGGUAGAUAGAUAGAUAGACAAACAAUUCAGGGG
rnacentral:sRNA from 2 species